UACGUAGGGGCCUAGCGUUGUCCGGAAUUAUUGGGCGUAAAGAGCUCGUAGGCGGUUCGGCAAGUCGGAUGUGGAAUCUCCACGCUUAACGUGGAGGGGCCAUUCGAAACUGCUGUGACUCGAGUCCGGUAGGGGAGUGUGGAAUUCCCGGUGUAGCGGUGAAAUGCGCAGAUAUCGGGAGGAACACCAGUAGUGAAGGCGGCACUCUGGGCCGGAACUGACGCUGAGACGCGAAAGCGUGGGGAGCGAACAGG
rnacentral:rRNA from 1 species